AGCUAUUUUCUAAUGUUGGUCUAGAAAUCUUGUUUGCAAUCUUGUGUGUAAUUGGUAGACCAUCAAGGUUUAUAGAACAUAUUUUGUUGUGAUUACUUCAUCUGUUUUGUGUGCGGAGAGACCCCUCGAAUCACAAGUCGUGCCGGCUGCGAUGAAGUUGAAUGAGAUCGCCAUAUUGAAUUCGGUGCUGCUCGAAAACAGAAGACACGUGUAGAUUAAAAAUUGUGGAUUUUGGAGGAUAAUUCGGAAUAAAAUCAUUGAAAACUAGCACAACGUUAUUGCUAGUACUGUUUCGUUAUCCAGGAAAGUGAAAAUCUCCCCGAAAGUGAGAGACGAGAAAUAGCUGACGGUGACGACGAAUGCGUUUGGCUUUUUUUUUUUUUUUGUGUCGGUGCAUGUGGAAGAUUUUACAGUGGCAUGGACAGACUGAAUUCCGGUCGAGAUACGGAUGUGGACAUCUUUUUCUGUUAUGAAUAUUUCACAAGUGAUUAAAAAUCUGCCGGAUUAUUAUGUGAUUUCCGUGUUCAAGAGUAGGUAUGCUACUGAUAAUAAAUCAUAAUGUUUUGAUUUUUGUAUGGACGGAUUUUGACUGCAAAUAGGGAUGUUGGGUAGCACAUUGAAUAGCGGUGAGUUCUUUUUCGUAAAAAUAAUACAUCGGCUUUUUCAUCAUGUUACGUAUAAUAAUUGUAAUAGAAACCGAAACAUUGCACUUUAGUGGUUAUUUUAGCUAGUGACGUGAAGCUGUGAUAAAAAUACUUCGGAGAAAAAAACGCGGAAAGGAAUUAAAAAAAAAUACAGCGACACGUUUUGAACUCAUUCGUUAGAUUGCUCAAUGCUACGCAGUAUUUCCAGCAUAAUUUUUCAAAUCGACGUUUCUAACUUUUUCACUGAUCUGAGUAAAUUCGUGGUCAAUGUUGACGACCAUUUCACUAAAAUAGUUUUUUUAUAAAAAUACUUUUCAUAAGUUUUUUCGUGCUUUAUCACCAGGGAUAUAGCACGCACUAGGUAAGAAACAAAACCUGCUCAUUCCAUAUCAUUUUUACAAUGAAUUUUGACCAAAAUACACAUACACCGGAUUGGUUAGAGAUACGUCAUGCCAGAUACGUCGCUUUUGUAUGGUGUCAGUUUGGUGUAUCUGUUACUUUGGAUUUUGGCUAGAUACGUCGUUUGGUGUUGUAAUUGUAAUUGUAAUUUAUUAUCAUAAACGUAAGCCUGGCGGUAUAACCAUUAAUCAGGUCAAGGAAAUUUGUUCUCAUAUAUCAAAACGGUGUAUCUAAUUUAAUUUGUAAUUUGUAAUUUGUAAUUUAUUAGUAACAUCACGACACCCUGUUGGACAGGCCAUAUAUCAGGUCAAGGAAAAUCAUACAUAUAGAUAUUUAUAACAUUAUAUCAGUAAAGUUGUAAACAUAAAAAUAGUUAGAUACGUCGUUUCGAAAAAUAUGCUUAGUUAAACAAAUUAAGCAAUAAAUAACACAGCGUAACAUUUUUUUGUCUCAAGAGCAAACUUAUGUGUCUCCGAAGGAUUUUGGGCCGCUGAAUCCGAAUCCGGGCUCAGAUUUGCUCUAACACGUCACAAUUUUGAGCUAUACCCCAUUUUAUAGGGCAAAAUAUGCGAUUUUGGGCUUUUUUGACUGCAAGCCAUUAAGCUUGGAAAUAUUUUUUUUAUGCAAUCAAAAGGUUAAUUGGUCAAUUAACAUCUAAAUUAACGACUCAUACAAAAUAUUUCGUUUUACCUAAUCAAAUUUGAUAGAUUUAAGCAUUUUAUGUUAGUAUGAAAACUUGCAUGCAACUUUUGGAGGGUGACUUGUAUGGGAAAUAUCGUACCUAACAUAAAUCGCUUAAAACUAUUAAAUUCGAUUUGGUAAAACGAAAUAUUUUGCAUGAGUCGUUGAUUUAGAUGUUAAUUGACCAAUUAACCUUUUGAUUGCUUAAAAAAAAUAUUUCCUUGCUUAAUGGUUUGCAGUCAAAAAAGCCCAAAAUCGCAUAUUUUGCCCUAUAAAUUGAGGCAUAGCUCAAAAUUGUGACGUGUUAGAGCAAAUCUGAGCCCGGAUUCGGAUUCAGCGGCCCAAAAUCCUUCGGAGACACAUAAGUUUGCUCUUGAGACAGACAAAAAGUUAAUUUUUGUUACGCUGUGUAAUCAAACAUUGAUGUGGGGUGGAUUCUUUAAUUUGCUUUAUGAAUCAUACAACAUGCACCUGAAACCCCGGAUUUGUUUACAUUUGCGAGUUACGUCGGAUUGAAAAGUUAUGCUUGAUUUGAUCUUAUUCAAUGAACCAUUUUACGGAGUGACAACAAUGUUGAUGAUGAUAUUGAUUUUUACGGGUUAUUGGACGCUACCUCCUGUCAAAAUUCAUUCAUAAAAUCGGCUCGUAAAAUGGACUAUAAUGCAUCAUAAUCAUUGGCGUAAAUAGGGGGUGGCCAGGGGGGGGCUGGCCCCCUCCAGAAUAA